UUCACAAUCUCACAUUCUGAGAGCCUUCUGAGUUUUAUCAUACAUGGAUAAUUUGCAUUAUGAGUUUUAUCCACAUAUGAUAAAACUCUGAAGGCUUUCAAAGUGCACCUAAAUAAUGU
rnacentral:precursor_RNA from 8 species